rnacentral:pre_miRNA from 1 species
GGCUCUGGCUCCGUGUCUUCACUCCCGUGACUGUUCGAGGAGGGAGGGAGGGACGGGGGCUGUGCU